rnacentral:rRNA from 1 species
AGAGUUUGAUCAUGGCUCAGGACGAACGCUGACGGUGUGCUUUAGGCAUGCAAGUCGAACGAGAAAGCCCUUAGGGGUGAGUAAAGUGGCGAACGGGUGAGUAACACGUGGGCAACCUGCCCCUCGCAGGGGGACAACCGGAGGAAACUCCGGCUAAUACCUCGUACGCUUGUUGGAUCGCAUGGUCCGGCAAGGAAAGGUAGCUUCGGCCAUCCGGCGAGGGAUGGGCCCGCGUUGCAUUAGCUAGAUGGCGGGGUAACGGCCCACCAUGGCGACGAUGCUUAGGGGACCUGAGAGGGUGAUCCCCCACACUGGCACUGAGAUACGGGCCAGACUCCUACGGGAGGCAGCAGUAGGGAAUAUUGGGCAAUGGGCGAGAGCCUGACCCAGCCAUGCCGCGUGCCGGAUGAAGGCCUUCUGGGUUGUAAACGGCUUUUCUCAGGGAAGAAAAAGACCUUGCGAGGUACACUGACGGUACCUGAGGAAUAAGCACCGGCUAACUCCGUGCCAGCAGCCGCGGUAAUACGGAGGGUGCAAGCGUUGUCCGGAUUUAUUGGGUUUAAAGGGUGCGUAGGUGGCUUGUUAAGUCCGGGGUGAAAGCCCACAGCUCAACUGUGGAACUGCCCUGGAUACUGGCGAGCUUGAGUCCAGACGAGGUUGGCGGAAUGGAUGCUGUAGCGGUGAAAUGCAUAGAUAGCAUCCAGAACCCCGAUUGCGUAGGCAGCUGACUAGGCCGGUACUGACACUGAGGCACGAAAGCGUGGGGAGCGAACAGGAUUAGAUACCCCGGUAGUCC